GGAGGGGAUGGAAAUUAACUGUCCAUCUCUUGAGUCUGUUCGGAUCGGUGGUUGUGAUAGGCUGAAAUACUUGCCAGAUGCCCUUCCUAAUCUCAGGAAUCUCAGUCGAUUGUGCUUGUAUGGGUGUAAGAAUUUGGAGUACAUUCCGGAAGGAUGGUUCCACUCUGCAACAAAUCUGACAUAUUUGAAUAUCAGGGGAUGCAAAAAACUGAAGGCCCUACCACACGGAUUGCAGAGCAUCAACUACCUCACUUCUCUUGAAGAGCUGUAUUUGAAUAUUUCAGAAUGGAACAACAACUUCAAGAAGAUUGGUUUGCACUGUUUAUCCUCUCUCAAAACACUGUUGAUUUCAGGGGAAGAAGAAGAACAUCCUAUGGGUUCCAGCUUUCCGAUAGAUGGGAUGUUGCUGCCCACCUCUCUGAUCUGUCUUCGCAUCUCAGGUUUCCGAAAUCUGGAGAAGCUAUCUUUUAAGUUGUUUCAAAACCUCGCCUCUCUUGAAGAACUUGAAAUCCUUGGUUGCCCUAGGCUCAAAUCUUUACCAGUGCAAAGGCUGCCUCCCUCACUUAAGGAAUUGUUGAUCGAGAGAUGUCCGAGACUAACAGGGAAGUGUGAAAAGGGGAAAGGCAAAUAUUGGCCCCACUUAGCUCACAUUCCUGACGUCGACGUCCGUGAGUGAUCAACUCUGUGGAGAUUCCACCGCAAUACAAGCAGUCAAAUUGCCAGAAAUGUGCUUUCAAGGAUCUGAAUACAGAGAAAGAUUUCUUCCGAUAGAUUUCCUCAUCUGCUUUUAUUUCCCGAGGAAACCACAACAAAUGGAAGAGUCCUCAUUUCUUUCCAACUUUGCGCAUUUGUUCUUGGAUAUCCUGUCCAUCCAGUGAUUGUUCGCUAUCCCCUUGUACACUUUGACCAAUCCUGGGGAAAUAUAGCUUUGGGAAAGCUCAUGUUUAGAAUGUUCAGAGUUUCACAAUUUCAUGGAGGACAACAUAUCUCUAGUCUAGUCUUAGAUUGAAUCCUGGAUUGCUGAGUCUUGAUUGGUUACACUAACUGUACAAACAUCUCAUUCCUAUGGGGACAUCAUGCAGCUUGCAAAAGCUUCCGAGUCCAAACAAGUCACUUUUCGUGCUCCAUGUGUUUUGGCUUUAUAGUUUAUCUUGCUUUUAGGUCGCAAAAAUGAUCUUGUACUUCAUUCAAACAUUCUAUGAAGUGCUAGAUUUUAGCUCUUAAACUUAAUUUGAUGGCCUUUUUCGUGAUGGGCCAAGAAUAUUUGAUGCAGCUGCAAUGAUGGAAUUUAUAUUGUCUCCUUGGGAUCUCGUAAUGUAUUAGGUGUAGGCCUUGAAGCACACCAUUUGAUGCUUAUAAUUCCUCUCUUCCAAAAUAAAUAAGUUGAAUCAAUGUUUUUAUUAAUGACUA